rnacentral:rRNA from 1 species
GACGAACGCUGGCGGCGUGCUUAACACAUGCAAGUCGAACGGAAAGGCCCUGCUUUUGUGGGGUGCUCGAGUGGCGAACGGGUGAGUAACACGUGAGUAACCUGCCCUUGACUUUGGGAUAACUUCAGGAAACUGGGGCUAAUACCGGAUAGGAGCUCCUGCUGCAUGGUGGGGGUUGGAAAGUUUCGGCGGUUGGGGAUGGACUCGCGGCUUAUCAGCUUGUUGGUGGGGUAGUGGCUUACCAAGGCUUUGACGGGUAGCCGGCCUGAGAGGGUGACCGGCAGCAAUGGGACUGAGGUGAGGCGGAGAAGACUACGGGGGGCAGCAGUAGGGAAGAUUGUACAGUGGGGGGAGGCAGGAUGAAGGAACGACGCGGGGGGGAGGAAGACGGUCGGGGUGUCAACAACUUCCGCCCGUGAAGAAGAGGGAGUGACGGUAACGGGGAAAGAAGCACCGGCUAACUCCGUG